GUUUUGGAUGAUGCUUCUAACAAUCAGUGAUGGCUUUGACUGAUCAUACUCUGGCGUUCUCAUGGGUUAAAAUAUGGCAUUGGAGACAACGCAGCAGAUCACUGCUCUCUCUCGGUUCCUAGUUUGCAGAAUGCUAACUGUUACUAAGGUCUCAGUCUGAUUUUGGAAACCAAUUAUUUGUUUUAAGCUUGCUUAUGGAUCGACGUGGUUAUUAUAUAUGGGGAAGAGUACAUUAUUAAAUCAUCACAACUGUUGAUGUUGGUAAAGUAAAAUGUCUUGGGUGGACCAGAACGUGAUGGAAGUGUUACAGUUGUUCAGAUCCUGUGACUUAUCUAGCAUCUAGUGAGCUAGCAUCUACGCUUCAAGCCUAGUACCCUGUUGUUCACUUCUAUAAGAGAGAAGCAUCAGGUCAGUCCGUACGGUGAUUUCCAUCUUGAGAUGCAUAUGCCUCCGAGCCUUAUACUCUGACAAGUUGUUGUCAGUGGAGAUGGGAAAAAUGAUGCCCCUCCUGCAUUACACGAGCUAUAGAAAUACUCAAACUAAGAAUCAUCUUUGCAGGAUGACAACUUUGCUUCCUAAGUUAAAGUUUCUCUUGCUUGGAUAGGUUUUGGUAAUUAUUUUGCCGCCCAAGAGGAGGGUGACCAAGCCAUGGCUGCAUAUCUCGCUCCCGCUAGGCUAUUGCCAGGGUUGAAUCUUGAUAUUAUCUUGUUCCAGGUGUCAUUGCCAACUCUGUACAUUGGAAUGGAGUAUAUGCGAACCUACAGCUACAAAGCUUGCCGACCAGGUCAGUCCGUACGGUGAUUUCCGUCUUGAGAUGCAUAUGCCUCCGAGCCUUAUACUCUGACAAGUUGCUGUCAGUGGAGAUGGGAAAAAUGAUGCCCCUCCUGCAUUACACGAGCUAUAGAAAUACUCAAACUGUUGAAUUUUUUUUUAUUGAAUUCUCUAAACUGAUAUAUUAUGUCGGAAUCGAAAAAGUUCUCUUUCCAAGUAUUUCAUCAGACAGCCGUUCAUUUUCUCAUUGGUGUGAAAAAUUUUGAGUGGAUUUGCAGGCAGAUAUUGGUCCUUGCUAUGGGAAUAGAAGUGGCUAAGGAGAGUUUGGACAUCAUCAUCUUUGCAGGAUGACAACUUUGCUUCCUUUGUUAAGUUUCAGCUCACAGUCAAUGUCGUAGCUCUCGUGUGCUCAAGUUGCAGAGAGGAUUUUAUCAAAGACGAUGUCUGCUACAGCAUGCUAAAUGAGUUGAAGAGCAGCAAUGUCUUUUGGUUUUAAGAGCCUUCCAGUUUCCAGUACCUUUUCCUUUUUCUGCUCUAGGAGUUGUAGGGUUCGGCUUGGUUCUCCAUCUUUGACAACAUCCCAGAGAUCUUUAUUCAUGAGUGUGGUUUUCAUUCUUGUAGACCAGAACUCGUAAUUCUGUCCAUCAAUGACUGCAACAAGUUGAGAUGAUUGCAGGCUCCUAGGAUAAAAUCAAGUUGAGCUCUGGUACCAUGUUGAACUCUUGCUCAUAUCUUCAGGGUACCAGAAGCAAGUCUGUUCUUCGUGCAUGGUUGGUUGUUCCCAGAGCAACCUGAAAUGAAUAGUAUCAAGGAAAUAACCGAAGCAAGAAACAUCGAACUUGGACUCGGUUUACAGCUCUGCUUCUUGCAUCCUUCAAAACACAAGUUUGAACACCCGCGGUUUUGUUUUGAGCGGCUAGAAUACGUAGGACAGAAGAUACCGGUGAGAAGAACUCUCUCUCAUCU